UGGGGAAUUGUUCACAAUGGGCGCAAGCCUGAUGACGCAACGCCGCGUGGGGGAUGAAGGUCUUCGGAUCGUAAACCCCUGUCGAAUGGGACGAAAGACUCGCGAGUGAAUACUUCGCGAGAGUGACGGUACCGUUAAAGGAAGCCACGGCUAACUCUGUGCCAGCAGCCGCGGUAAUACAGAGGUGGCAAGCGUUGUUCGGAAUUACUGGGCGUAAAGGGCGCGUAGGCGGCCCUCUAAGUCAGACGUGAAAUCCCCCGGCUUAACCUGGGAACUGCGUCUGAUACUGGAGGGCUUGAGUAUGGGAGAGGGAUGUAGAAUUCCAGGUGUAGCGGUGAAAUGCGUAGAUAUCUGGAGGAAUACCGGUGGCGAAGGCGGCAUCCUGGACCAUUACUGACGCUGAGGCGCGAAAGCUAGGGGAGCAAACAGGAUUAGAUACCCCCGUAGUCCCUGAGCGGGCUGGCAAGGCGCAU
rnacentral:rRNA from 1 species